GAGAGAGAGAGAAAGGAGCGCACACUAUGCGGUGGAAUAUUUUUGGAUUCCCUCUCCCCUGUCUUAACCGUCAGUGCUGACAUGAAGAGGAUUUUGGUAAGCUCUUAUGAGAGAGGGAAAGAUAGAUGUGACUGUGACUGGCUGUAAUUUUCACAGAUUCACAGGUACAGGCGUUUGGCUGAAGAUCUUGGGAGAGACUAUUGCGCACUUUGCGUGAAAGAGUCAGCUCUUGGAAAUGGGUGCGGGAGGGGCACACAUGGUCUAUUCUGAAAUGGUUAAAACAAUUCGCAUGCAGCGGCCAGUCUCAAAUGACAACUUCUGACUGAAGCAUAAAGUUGUGGGAGCUGCACAUAUAGGCCAACUGCACAUGAAACAAGUGAAUCCGACAAGUCAUGAAGUUAUGCAGAUAACACCGCAUCUGAGAAAGAACGUGUUACCCAUCACCCCGACUCAACCCAAUACAGCUUUGAAAAAGCACAGCCUGUGAGGCAGUUUGGGCACUUCCCUUUGGACAACAGCCCUGAGACCAAUAUAAAUCUGACAAUAACUGACUAAUUAACACAAUAGACAACAAUACAGUUUCUUCCGGAGUUUUACUGACUUUGUGAGUACUAAAUCCAACCAACAUCUCCUCUGCAGUAGCAUAGAGCCAGCAAGCUCCCUUCCCUUCCCAGCUAUGGCUCCCCCUAGCCGUGCUUCCAUAUUUCCUUGUUUAUGCACAGCAUAAUGGCCUGACCCUCCCUUCUCUAUAACAUUAUACAGACACCACCUAGCACCUGAAAACCUACAUUUUUCUAGAUAUAUUUUGAGAUUAGAGUCUCUAUAUACCUCAUAUUCAUCCAAUGGCACCCUAACCAUAGUGGAACAGAGUUUUUCUUACCUUUACAAAGUGCCUCUCUCUAUACCUCUCUCUCUCCAAAGUCCCAACCUCGAUAGCCUCCUUCUUCUUCCCAGAAAUCCCUGCAAAAGGGGCACUUCCAUGUAAGUUGAAUGUGUAGGGGUGCUCAUUUUGGACUCAACCAUUACUGUAAAAUACAGAAGGCCCCAGAUGCUCAGUAAGGGCCUAUUUGGGUACAUAGUCCCACAGGCGCCAACAUGUCCCUUUCAAACGGUAUGACACUGGCCCUAUAGUAAAUAACCGUCCCCUAACUCCCUCUGUCCUCCCCCCCAAUGGCUUUCACAUCAUAUGGCCCAUCCACCAGUCAUACAGCCAAUGCUGAGAAGCAAUUGUAACUUGCUGCACAAAUGAGCUCUCAGAGAGUUUCCACUGGGUUUUUGUGGAUUCACCAAGCCUUGGGGCCUCUUAGAGCUGCCCAAAAUCAUUGCUAGGGGAUAUUUUGAACACACAAAGACCCCUUUUUAUUGAAACAGACCAUUUGAAUGCAGAGGAAAAUAUUCUGGUGUGAAUAUGAUGCAAUCAAGCAAAAAGAGAGCACUGUCUCCAAGUGUCCCUCUCCAAAAGUGCAGAGAUGUAUCCACUGGGACAAGGAGCUUUCCACUCACACAAUGAGAAGGUGUGGCGGAUGACAAAUGCCAAUUUUGGGGUCCGCACCUUUGAAAGCAGGGGCGUCAUGAACUCCAAAAAUCUGAGGGGGCACAAAGUAUGUGAGGAUGGCUUGGGGGUGGUCAGGAGGUGGGCUUGGCUCCUGUUCAUUCAUAUUAUUCAUGAAACAUAUUUGUCUUGCUACAGCCAUAAUCAUUACGCUUAAUUCUAUGUUAAACACUUUUGUUUUUCUGCAUAUCUAAGCAUACCUUUUGAGCUGUCUGUAUAUCCCGAUUAGUGGUUAUUCUUUAAAGAAACUAAAUAUGCUUCUCUGCAUCUCUGCUAAAAUAUGGGAAAAAUAUUGAAAGGAAUGUGAGUCUUAUUCAGUACAUUUAGUUAUUGCUUGCUUUUCUAAAGUCUACCAAUCUUGCCAGCAGGUAUGCCAGCGAAGAUGAUAGUUAGACAAGCUAGCUACUCUAACUUGAUUGAUUGCCUCAACCUAUCUGGGAUAGCUAAAGCCAACAUCAAAUUGCUAGGUGGCUAGUAGUUUUGAAUUGAAUUGUUUUAUUAAAUUCAGAUUGUGUGUCACUUAUCUACACAGAAUACCCCAUAAUGUCAAAGUGGAAUUGUGUUUUUAGAAAUGUUAACAAAUUAAUUUAAAAAAAUAAACUUGAGUCAAUAAAAGUAUGCAAUCUUUUUGUAAUGGCAAGCCUAAAUAAGUUGAGAGGUAAAAAUGUGCUUAACAAGUCACAUAAUAAGUUGCCUGGACUAGCUCUGUAUACAAUGAUACUGUUUAACAUGACUACCCAAUCUCUGUACCUCACACAUACAAUUAUAUGUAAGGUCCCUAAAUCGAGCAGUGAAUUUCAAGCACAGAUUCAACUACAAAGACAAGGGGGGUUUUCUAUGUUUUGCAAAGAAGGGCACAUAUUGGAAGAAGGGUAAAAAAAAAAAAAAUGACAUUGAGCAUUGUGCAGUUAUUAAUUGUACACAUUAGAUGGUGAAUCAAUACACCCAGUCACUACAAAGAUACAGGCAUCCUUCUUAAAUCAGUUGCCGGAGAGGAAGGACACCACUCUUGGAUUUCACCAUGAGGCCAAUGGUGACUUUAAAACAGUAACAGAGUUUAAUGGCUGUGAUAGGAGAUAACUGAGGAUGGAUCAACAACAUCGUUACUCGGCAACAGUAACAUAAAUUACAGAGUGAAAAGAAGGAAGUCUGUACAGAAUAACAAAUAUUCCAAAACAUGCAUCCUGUUUGCACUAAAGUAAUACUGCAAAAAAUGUGGCAAAUACAUAAACUUUUUGUCCUGAAUACAAACUGUUAUGUUUGGGCAAAUCCAACACAUCACUGAGUACCACUCUUCAUAUUUUCAAGAAUGGUGGUAGCUGCAUCAUGUUAUGGGUUGGAAAGAACUAGGGAGGUUUUUCUUAGGAUAAAAAUAAACGGAAUAGAGCUAAGCACAGGCAAAAUCCUUGAGGAAAACCUAGUUCAGUCUGCUUUCCAACAGACACUGGGAGACAAAUAAAAAUUUCUACAGGACAAUAAUCUAAAACACAAGGUCAAAUAUGUACUGGAGUUGCUUACCAAGACGUCAUUGAAUGUUCCUGAGUGGCUUAGUUACAGUUUUGACUUAAAUCAUCAGCUUGAAAAUCUAUGGCAAGACUUGAAAAUCGCAGUCUAGCAGUGAUCAAUAACCAACUUGACAGAGCUUGACACAUUUUAUAAAGGAUAAUGGACAAGUAUUGUACAAUCCAGGUGUGCAAAUCUCUUAGAGGCUUUCCCAGAAAGACUCACAGCUGUAAUCCCUGCCCAAGGUGAUUCUAACAUGUAUUGACUCAGGGAGUUUAAUACUUAUCUAAUCACGAUAUAUUAGUGUUUUAUUUUCCAUUAAUACAAAAUAUAUAUACUUUUUCUUCCACUGACAUAACAGGGUAUUUUGUGUAUAUCAUUGACCAAAAAAUGACAAUGAAAUCUAUUUGAAUCCCACUUUGUAACAAAACAAAAUGUGAAAAAGUUGAGUGUGAAUACCAUCUGAAGGUACUGUAUAUUCUGUAUAUAAUGUAAAUAUAUUUAAACAGGACAAAUCUGAGGGGAGCAUGUUCCCCUGUGACCCAUUUGGGCAUGACACCUCUGCUAUUUAUGUUUGUGUUAUUGUUAUAAUAAACAAUGGGAAAAUAAAUACACCAGAGCAAUA